ensembl:lncRNA
UGCUUGAGUCCUGCAGAUUUCAAACGUUCUUGAAACUUCCCCCUGAGCAGGAGCACCAGCACCUUAGGCUCGGCACAGAGACCAUCCCGGAUGCUCGUUGGGCUAUAAAAGUAAAGAGGAGGAACAAAGAGAAUUUUAAAAAGAAAAAUAUCCCAAAAAAGAAGUAGAAAAGAGAGAAAAAGUAACUUCCCUGACCGGGAAUCGAACCCGGGCCGCGGCGGUGAGAGCGCCGAAUCCUAACCACUAGACCACCAGGGAUCUACGUACAGCAUUUGUAAUUUGUUUAUCAAGACCUUAUCAGCUCGCCACGUCAUUACCCUGUUGUAUUUUCCUUUUGUUCUCCUUCUUCCGGACAGUACCACGCUUCGGAGGCAGGCGAGCGUGCGGAAGGAACCUUCCAUUCCAACCCAUGGAAGGGGAGCGGCGGGGAGAGAAGCGGAACUCGCUUGGCCCCGAGUCGAGUGCUGUGACGGGCCCUCGCCCUAGGCGAGCUGGUUGGCAGCCCGAGCGACCGCCAGCGGCUGCGGGUGGAAGGAGCCGGGCUUUCUCAUUCUAGGGGGCUCCUUCCGAAGAGAAGGGACCCCAAGCAGUGCAAGCCUUCAAGCUGGGUAGAGGAGCUGGGCCGCUGGCACCUGGGAUGAGAGCCUUUAAAGCACUUUGUGCUGUGCCGUCUGCUGCGUGUACAGUAUUCCCCCAGUGGCAGCAGGCUGGUGCCUGAUGGAUGGGUUUCUUCUGUCCAGAGGAAAACGUUGCAUGAAUAUUUAUGUCCUUAAAAGAGGAGAGAAGGCCUUGUCAGCGAAGUGCCAGGAACAUAGACUGAGGACGAGUUGCCUGGGAGAGAGGAGGUUCCAGCUGCAUCGUGUGUUCUGAAAGAAACUCGAGGGAGCAGAAUGUUCCCUGGUGUCUGGUCCGUAGGAAAAUGCCGAUCCAGAGGCACACUGAGUGAAACCUGCAGCUCCAAAAUGGGAACCAGGUGGACAGUUCUCUGUUCUGUGUUGGCAGGCAGCAGCAGCAGGGGGCAGACUCCACGACCUCCAGGAAAGUGGCACUGGGAGUCAGAUGUUUUCUAGUUGUUUUUAGGAAAGGCUUUCACUUCCCUGCAAGUCAUGUGCCCUGACAAAAGAUUACACCUCUUCUCUGGAUUCCUGCGUCCGACAGAGAAACCCCUCCGUGCAGUUGUCAGCAGUUCUUCCUCCUGCUUGUGGGGACGUAGCUGCAGCUGUGCCUGCAUCCCGUGAUACCAGCUGGAGAGGAAUAAUCAUCUGAGAGCAACAGGGGAGGAGGGAUGUCACAGGCUGGUGCUCCUUGUCACCUGAUGUGGCGGGAUAGCUCUUUGUCGGUUAGGCCAAGUGAAUAGCACUCAGUGUCAGGGGUACCACACCCCAGCUUUCAGAGAUGAGUAAUUAAAGCUGAAUUCUGGAACCUAAAAAAUCAAAGCACUCACUUUAGCUGCAAGCUCUAAAGCAGCACACAAUUAACUUGUCUGUUCCAUAUGAAUAUAUUACAUUAUUAUUACUUUCAUUUGCCAGGUUAAUUAAUGUGUGACAGCAGGUUUGCUGCAUAAAAAUGAGUAAGAAUAACAUCAAAGCAAUCUGUUAAUUUACUCAAGUCUUUUAUUUGGUUAUGUUUCCGCUACAUAAUGGUAAGUACAAAUUGUCUUUAGUACCUAGAGUACCCAAUCCGGUAGUAGGUGAAGUCCUGUAUCUGAGCAGACACUGUAAUCAUUAUUUAUAAUUACAUGCAAUAUGUGCAUUUAUCACUUCUCUCUUUCCCCAGCUGUUUAUUUGAGCUGGAAAGUCUUGGCAUCAGCUUUUCUUAUUUAAAUUAGCCUGGUUUAAAAUGUGCAUCAUCCCAGUGUUGGGGAGGUGAAAAUGAAAGGGAAGGAAAAGAUUCUGCACAGACUGAUGCGUUUUUAUGUUUAAUAUCCAUGUAUAGUCAGAAGGAUUGCCUAACUGUUAGAUUAUAAUCAUGUUCUUGGGGGAGAGAAGUUGCAGUUUAGAUUUCUUAAAGCUGCUUUCUUCGUGGCAGUGUUUGAUGGAACGAAUCUAAAGGAAGUCUUGAAAGAUGUUUCCCAGUUCUUACAGCAGUUCUGAUACUCCUAGCUCCAAGAUCAUUGGAGUAAGGAAGGCGAAUUGCCCUGUCCUCUUGUAGUUUAAUUUCAGUAAUGCUAGGGGGCAGUAUGAGAGAAUUUGCAUCGUCAUGUUUUCAUACUUUGUAAACCAGUUAUUUAUUGUUUAUAGAAAGCACUGUAAAGAUUCUGAGGAAAAAUAGGGGAGAAACUCACCAGCAAUACUGUUAUAAAUAAUCUUGCAAGUUCUACUACUGCUUCCCUUGUUCUUCCAUUCCUCCCCUGACACUGCAUUUGAUCCAGGGAUACCAAGGUCAGCUUUUCCUCUUGCCUCUGUUAAAAUAUGAUAUUGGGGUCUGGGCUAAGGCAUGGCAGUGGGUGCUUCAUCAACUGUCCACUGAGCUCAGCAAAAAACCUUAUUUGAGAGAAAUACAGUUUUGUUCUUAUCUCCCUCUGUAUCUAAGUAAAUCCUUUUCUCAGUCUCCUCUGCAGAGCCUUUUGGAAGCACCUUCUAGUUUAAUCCACUUGGCAGUAGUAACUGGAGGACAAUAUCAGUUAUGAGGGGAGCAGUUCUUGCAAAUUUUUUUAAGCUCUGCUCUCUGUCUCAUUUUUGGGAAAUGUGUAGAAAUUUUCCAUAUCCCGACCUGCUAAAUUGAUUUAGAUCUACACAAUUCAUUCAAAUUCAGACAGGAAGAUCCGCAAAACUCCUCUUGGCCUAAACUGCAGAAACCAGGCUAAAAAUAGUGAUGUGUUGUAAGGGAAGUCAGCCCCUGGUGCAUGGUAGGAUCAAGCAGAGACUCAGUUAGGAAGAAGUCUGUCUGUAUCAAAGCUAUUUUAUGACUGUUUUGUAGUGGAAAAAGUUGUAAAAAUUCUUGGGGGGGAACACUCAACAACAGAGUGACUGCUAGUAGGAAUAGAAAACAUCCAUCUCAUGUUUAUACCUUUUCACAACUGGACUGUUAGGAUAUUCUUUAGUAAUUCUUUAUUGAGUGUUACCAUCCUUAAAUAAAUGGGCAGUAAGGCAACA